GGGGGAGCACCACAACAGGUGGAGCCUGCGGUUUAAUUGGACUCAACGCCGGGAAGCUCACCGGAUAAGACAGCAGAAUGAUUGCCGGGCUGAAGACUCUGCAUGACUAGCUGAGAGGAGGUGCAUGGCCGUCGUCAGUUCGUACUGUGAAGCAUCCUGUUAAGUCAGGCAACGAGCAAGACCCACGCCAACAGUUGCCAGCAUGGUCUCCGGACUGAUGGGGACACUGUUGGGACCGCCUCUGCUAAAGAGGAGGAAGGAAUGGGCAACGGUAGGUCAGCAUGCCCCGAAUUAUCCGGGCUACACGCGGGCUACAAUGGGCAGGACAAUGGGCAUCGACACCGAAAGGUGAAGGCAAUCUCCUAAACCUGUCCUUAGUUCGGAUUGUGGGCUGCAACUCGCCCACAUGAAGCUGGAAUCUGUAGUAAUCGCGUUUCAAAAUAACGCGGUGAAUUUGUCCCUGCUCCUUGCACACACCGCCCGUCAAACCACCCGAGUGGGGUUUGGAUGAGGUUGCGGUUGUUGCCGCAGUCGAAUCUAGGUUCCGCAAGGGGGGUUAAGUCGUAACAAGGUAGCCGUAGGGGAAUCUGCGGCUGGAUCACCUCCU
rnacentral:rRNA from 1 species